rnacentral:lncRNA from 1 species
GACCUCUACUCCUGUCACAAUGAAGUCGACUGUUUCGUCGAGGGAAGUGGCCACCGUUGAUAAAAUGAAAAGACGCCAUGCAGAAUACUGUGCACAGGAGGAAAGGUCUGCGUGCCCUAAGAGAGAGCUGCUGGCGUGCAGAGAGAAGCAGAGAUGCCGACGACGGGGAGGAAACACACUGGCGGUGGAUCUGCGGAGAUGGACAGGACAGGAGACUAAGGAGGUGAGAACCCUGGCCCACACCAUCACUAAGGGCCCUUCCUGAGGUCUGCUUCCCACAUGAAGUCCUCCCAGGGCCCUGAAUCCAGCCAUCCACCUCCUUGUUGGACAUAGGCUCCAUUAGAGAGAUGCGGGGCUCCAGCCCCCCUUGCUCUGCCUCCCUGUGAGAAGUUGCUGACAGUGAAGGAAAGGUCAGUGAGUCCUGCUAAUUAAAAAACACUUUGCCCCAUCCGAUUUCCC